GAGAAACUGAGGCUGCAGUUCUGAGGUGCAGAGGCUGAGAUGCUAGGGUUGCUCACAACCCCCUUCCAGGCGGUCCAUUUCCUAGGCCACUUGUAGCGUGGCAGUUGACUUCUUCAAGGUCACCAGGGCUUGCGGUGUUCUACUAUAAGGACUACAUCUCUGUAGCAGGUGGAUGGACACAUUCAGCUUCCAUUACAUGCUGCUGGGCCUAUCUCCACUCUGGACUGCACUCUGGAAACUUCAGGAGGCUCGAAUCUUUAAGAAAGCCCACAAGAGAAUAUCCUGGGGCUGGCAACAGGGAACCAAUGUUAUUUAAUGGAAAGACUUUCAAGAACUUUGAGCAAGAGGAUGUUUAGCGAAGAUAUGCUUUCCUGGAAACAAUAUCUAUUGACUCUCCCUCUGUUCUUUAAAACCACAGAGAACUAGCUCACCCUCUUCUCUACUGGGUGAUCCGUUAGGUCCCUGAAGACUGCUAUUGUCUCUAGCUUCCGUUUUUUUCAUCCAUGCUAAAUGUCUCCAGAUCUAUAAGCUGUCUCUCAAAUGUUAGCCUGGUUACAUUUCCCUUACCAUCUGGUGGUCAGAACUGGAUUUGAAUUCUAGGUGCAUUUUGGCAUAAGCAAGAAAGAAUUGACCCAAUUUUCUUACAUAUAAAGUGAGCUGGGCAGGUGGGGUUGGUUUCCUUUUCCUUUAGUCUUAAUUAUGUCACUUAAUUAUAAAAACCUUACCUGUCUUCCAAACACGGUCAGUCAUGAAAUCUGGACCUUUUUUCCUAGGACAGAAAAAGUACACUGAUUUCUUUUCUUGAAAGCUUAACAGCCUGGAAUAUUUUAGGCACAAGGACAUGAAGGGCUGGGGGAGGAAGGCAAAUGAGUUUUGUGCUUUAUACCAAAGCCAGGCUUUUUCUGGUUUUACUAAUGGAAGGUGAUCACAGAACAUUUUAAUGUCAGAAAGGUUUGAAAGCCAUUAUGCUUCUCCGCAGAUCUUAAAACUCUCCUACUUAACAACUAGUGCCUUGGAAAAGCCAGUGUGCAUGUUCUCUCUCUCUCUCAUACACACACACAUACACAAACACACUCUGAAUAUAAAACUAAGAAGCUGAUUCUGCUAUUAUUUGUCAUGCCUACAACAACCCCUCUGUGUUGUCGGAGGCACCGAACACGUGGUGCGUUCUUUAGCAGUACUUAGACACGCUGACAUAAAAUACAAAGAUGAUCCAAUUACACUUGCUGCAACUGCAUCUCAUUCUGCUAAUGCUUACAAAUUAAGGGUGUCUGUCACUGCCUACAUGAGCCUGUACAGAGAGCAUCUCCAAUCUCAUGAAUUUUCGAGUAUGCUCCACAGAAAUGCAGAAACCAAUUCAACGGCAAGGAGUUGACACACAGCUCAUAAUCCCUGUCUAGUCAGUAUGAAAAUCUGUCUGUGCAAGGAAUGCAAAACGUAGUCACCCGUGGAGUCAUGGGAUAUCAGCAGUGUUAUUUUACCAGAUCAGAGGUAGUGCUUUACUGACAUGAAGCACUUAAAGCGGAAUUGCUUUUCUGGGUUGAAACAUGGGUAUGUGCUCAGCUAAUUUCAAUCAGCACCGUUUAGUUGUUGUGCUUUGCUUUUUGAAACUUUCUGAAGCCAAUUGCCUUCUCAAUUGCUUCCAUGAUCUCUCUUUUAACAGGCAGGCUUCAGAGAGUCAUGGGUUCUGAUUUUGGAGACAGGAGUUGGGAGCAGUGUUAUAGCUUGUCCGUGAGCUCAGGACCCUGAAUUACUCGACUUAUACGCCCAGCGUGGGAGCCUCCUCCACCUGCUUGAGUACCGGCUCCUGAGUCCUUCAUCGGUUGACUGUCUGGGUUGGAAAUGUUUCAGUGAUCUGAAAACAUCCAUUCAGUCUUAUCUAAUAUAUCCUUUCUUCUUCGGGCUAAAUGUUAACAGAUCUUUCGUUCAUUCUUCAAAUACUGCCCAGUUCCCAGGGCUUUCUUCUGCACAAAUGAGUCAAAAGCUCUGCUGCAUCCAACAGUGAGAGAGCGGAUGUGUCGUCCUCAUUCAGAACACCCAGACUCUCUUACUGUGGCUUAAGGGGCUAUAACCUUCUGACCC
rnacentral:lncRNA from 1 species